CCUACGGGAGGCAGCAGUGAGGAAUAUUGGUCAAUGGGCGUAAGCCUGAACCAGCCAAGUCGCGUGAGGGAUGAAGGUUCUAUGGAUCGUAAACCUCUUUUAUAAGGGAAUAAAGUGUGGGACGUGUCCUGUUUUGUAUGUACCUUAUGAAUAAGGCUCGGCUAACUCCGUGCCAGCAGCCGCGGUAAUACGGAGGAUCCGAGCGUUAUCCGGAUUUAUUGGGGUUAAAGGGUGCGUAGGCGGCCUUUUAAGUCAGCGGUGAAAGUCUGUGGCUCAACCAUAGAAUUGCCGUUGAAACUGGGAGGCUUGAGUAUGUUUGAGGCAGGCGGAAUGCGUGGUGUAGCGGUGAAAUGCUUAGAUAUCACGCAGAACCCCGAUUGCGAAGGCAGCCUGCCAAGCCAUGACUGACGCUGAUGCACGAAAGCGUGGGGAUCAAACAGGAUUAGAUACCCCAGUAGUC
rnacentral:rRNA from 1 species